CCUACGGGUGGCAGCAGUCGAGAAUCAUUCACAAUGGGGGAAACCCUGAUGGUGCGACGCCGCGUGGGGGAAUGAAGGUCUUCGGAUUGUAAACCCCUGUCACGUGGGAGCAAAUUAAAAAGAUAGUACCACAUGAGGAAGAGCCGGCUAACUCGGUGCCAGCAGCCGCGGUAAUACAGAGGUCUCAAGCGUUGUUCGGAAUCACUGGGGGUAAAGCGUUCGUAGGCUGUUUCGUAAGUCGUGUGUGAAAGGCGCGGGCUCAACCCGCGGACGGCACAUGAUACUGGGAGACUAGAGUAAUGGAGGGGGAGGCGGAAUUCUCGGUGUAGCAGUGAAAUGCGUAGAUAUCGAGAGGAACACUCGUGGCGAAGGCGGGUUCCUGGACAUUAACUGACGCUGAGGCACGAAGGCCAGGGGAGCGAAAAGGAUUAGAUACCCGAGUAGUC
rnacentral:rRNA from 1 species